AUAUCAAUAAGCGGAGGAAAAGAAACCAACAGGGAUUGCCCCAGUAACGGCGAGUGAAGCGGCAACAGCUCAAAUUUGAAAUCUGGCCCCCCUCGGGGUCCGAGUUGUAAUUUGCAGAGGAUGCUUCUGGCGCGGCGCCUUCCGAGUUCCCUGGAACGGGACGCCACAGAGGGUGAGAGCCCCGUCCGGUCGGACGCCAAGCCUGUGUGAAGCACCUUCGACGAGUCGAGUAGUUUGGGAAUGCUGCUCAAAAUGGGAGGUAUAUGUCUUCUAAAGCUAAAUACCGGCCAGAGACCGAUAGCGCACAAGUAGAGUGAUCGAAAGAUGAAAAGCACUUUGAAAAGAGGGUUAAAAAGUACGUGAAAUUGUUGAAAGGGAAGCGCUCGUGACCAGACUUGGGCCCGGCGGAUCACCCGGCGUUCGCUCGCCGGGGCACUCCGCGGGCGCCCAGGCCAGCAUCGGUUCGCCGGCGGGGGACAAAGGCGGCGGGAACGUGGCUCCCCCUCGGGGGAGUGUUAUAGCCCGUCGCGCAAUGCCCUGCCGCGGACCGAGGUUCGCGCUUCCGCAAGGAUGCUGGCGUAAUGGUCACCAGCGACCCGUCUUGAAACACGGACCAAGGAGUCGUCCUCGUAUGCGAGUGUUCGGGUGUCAAACCCCUACGCGCAAUGAAAGUGAACGCAGGUGAGAGCUUCGGCGCAUCAUCGACCGAUCCUGAUGUUCUCGGAUGGAUUUGAGUAAGAGCAUACGGGGCCGGACCCGAAAGAAGGUGAACUAUGCCUGUGUAGGGUGAAGCCAGAGGAAACUCUGGUGGAGGCUCGCAGCGGUUCUGACGUGCAAAUCGAUCGUCAAACAUGGGCAUGGGGGCGAAAGACUAAUCGAACCUUCUAGUAGCUGGUUUCCGCC
rnacentral:rRNA from 1 species